rnacentral:rRNA from 1 species
AAAGCUCGUAGUUGAACCUUGGGCCUGGCUGGCCGGUCCGCCUCACCGCGUGUACUGGUCCGGCCGGGCCUUUCCCUCUGUGGAACCCCAUGCCCUUCACUGGGUGUGGCGGGGAAACAGGACUUUUACUGUGAAAAAAUUAGAGUGCUCCAGGCAGGCCUAUGCUCGAAUACAUUAGCAUGGAAUAAUAGAAUAGGACGUGUGGUUCUAUUUUGUUGGUUUCUAGGACCGCCGUAAUGAUUAAUAGGGACAGUCGGGGGCAUCAGUAUUCAAUUGUCAGAGGUGAAAUUCUUGGAUUUAUUGAAGACUAACUACUGCGAAAGCAUUUGCCAAGGAUGUUUUCAUUAAUCAGGAACGAAAGUUAGGGGAUCGAAGACGAUCAGAUACCGUCGUAGUCUUAACCAUAAACUAUGCCGACUAGGGAUCGGACGGUGUUAUUUUUUGACCCGUUCGGCA